GGAUGCUCCUUUUCCCGCCGCCUUUCUAACAACUAGAAAUGUUUUGAUGUAUCGUUGGUCCGGCGUACGACGGCGCCUGAUGCGAUUUAUGCGUCCGGAAGCCCUUUCAGCCUCCAGGCAUGUCCCCACCUGCCUCACAGCCACCGACGCAUCUCACGGCGGGGUUCGAAUUGCGUGCGCGUAUGAAGUCUCCUACUCCUGCCGCUUUUCUAACAACUAGUUAAUGUUAUGAUGCAUCGUUGGUCCGGCGUACGACGGCGCCUGGUGCGAUUUAUGCGUCCGGAAGCCCUUUCAGCCUCCCAGGCAUGUCCCCACCUGCCUCACAGCCACCGACGCAUCUCACGGGGGGGGUCUAAUUGCGUGCGCGUAUGGAUGCUCCUUUCCCCGCCGCCUUUCUAACAACUAGAAAUGUUUUGAUGCAUCGUUGGUCCGGCGUACGACGGCGCCUGAUGCGAUUUAUGCGUCCGGAAGCCCUUUCAGCCUCCAGGCAUGUCCCCACCUGCCUCACAGCCACCGACGCAUCUCACGGCGGGGUUCGAAUUGCGUGCGCGUAUGAAGUCUCCUACUCCUGCCGCUUUUCUAACAACUAGUUAAUGUUAUGAUGCAUCGUUGGUCCGGCGUACGACGGCGCCUGGUGCGAUUUAUGCGUCCGGAAGCCCUUUCAGCCUCCCAGGCAUGUCCCCACCUGCCUCACAGCCACCGACGCAUCUCACGGGGGGGGUCUAAUUGCGUGCGCGUAUGGAUGCUCCUUUCCCCGCCGCCUUUCUAACAACUAGAAAUGUUUUGAUGUAUCGUUGGUCCGGCGUACGACGGCGCCUGAUGCGAUUUAUGCGUCCGGAAGCCCUUUCAGCCUCCAGGCAUGUCCCCACCUGCCUCACAGCCACCGACGCAUCUCACGGCGGGGUUCGAAUUGCGUGCGCGUAUGAAGUCUCCUACUCCUGCCGCUUUUCUAACAACUAGUUAAUGUUAUGAUGCAUCGUUGGUCCGGCGUACGACGGCGCCUGGUGCGAUUUAUGCGUCCGGAAGCCCUUUCAGCCUCCAGGCAUGUCCCCACCUA
rnacentral:lncRNA from 1 species